rnacentral:rRNA from 1 species
GCCAGCACCUAUAUUAACUUGUAACUCAUAACUGGCAGCCCCCUCAAGUUCAGCAGGUGUGAGCCUGGCCAGUAUCUGGAUGGGAGAUCUCCUGGGAAAAACUAAGGUUGCUGCUGGAA